rnacentral:rRNA from 1 species
AACGAACGCUGGCGGCAUGCCUAACACAUGCAAGUCGAACGAGACCUUCGGGCUUAGUGGCGCACGGGUGCGUAACGCGUGGGAACCUGCCUUUAGGUUUGGCAUAACUUCCCGAAUGGGGUGCUAAUACCGGAUAAUGUCUUCGGACCAAAGAUUUAUCGCCUUUGGAUGGGCCCGCGUUGGAUUAGCUAGUUGGUAGGGUAAAAGCCUACCAAGGCGACGAUCCAUAGCUGGUCUGAGAGGAUGAUCAGCCACACUGGGACUGAGACACGGCCCAGACUCCUACGGGAGGCAGCAGUGGGGAAUAUUGGACAAUGGGCGAAAGCAUGAUCCAGCAAUGACGCGUGAGUGAUGAAGGCCGUAGGGUUGUAAAGCUCUUUUACCCGGGAUGAUAAUGACAGUACCGGGAGAAUAAGCUCCGGCUAACUCCGUG